rnacentral:rRNA from 2 species
GGGUUGUGAGGUUAAGCGACUAAGCGUACACGGUGGAUGCCCUGGCAGUCAGAGGCGAUGAAGGACGUGCUAAUCUGCGAAAAGCGUCGGUAAGGUGAUAUGAACCGUUAUAACCGGCGAUGUCCGAAUGGGGAAACCCAGUGCAAUUCGUUGCACUAUCGUUAACUGAAUACAUAGGUUAACGAGGCGAACCGGGGGAACUGAAACAUCUAAGUACCCCGAGGAAAAGAAAUCAACCGAGAUUCCCCCAGUAGCGGCGAGCGAACGGGGAGCAGCCCAGAGUCUGAAUCAGCUUGUGUGUUAGUGGAACGGUCUGGAAAGUCCGACGGUACAGGGUGAUAGUCCCGUACACCAAAAUGCACAGGUUGUGAACUCGAAGAGUAGGGCGGGACACGUGGUAUCCUGUCUGAAUAUGGGGGGACCAUCCUCCAAGGCUAAAUACUCCUGACUGACCGAUAGUGAACCAGUACCGUGAGGGAAAGGCGAAAAGAACCCCGGCGAGGGGAGUGAAAAAGAACCUGAAACCGUGUACGUACAAGCAGUGGGAGCACCUUCGGGUGUGACUGCGUACCUUUUGUAUAAUGGGUCAGCGACUUAUAUUCUGUAGCAAGGUUAACCGUAUAGGGGAGCCGCAGGGAAACCGAGUCUUAACUGGGCGUUAAGUUGCAGGGUAUAGACCCGAAACCCGGUGAUCUAGCCAUGGGCAGGUUGAAGGUUGGGUAACACUAACUGGAGGACCGAACCGACUAAUGUUGAAAAAUUAGCGGAUGACUUGUGGCUGGGGGUGAAAGGCCAAUCAAACCGGGAGAUAGCUGGUUCUCCCCGAAAGCUAUUUAGGUAGCGCCUCGUGAACUCAUCUUCGGGGGUAGAGCACUGUUUCGGCUAGGGGGUCAUCCCGACUUACCAACCCGAUGCAAACUACGAAUACCGAAGAAUGUUAUCACGGGAGACACACGGCGGGUGCUAACGUCCGUCGUGAAGAGGGAAACAACCCAGACCGCCAGCUAAGGUCCCAAAGUCAUGGUUAAGUGGGAAACGAUGUGGGAAGGCACAGACAGCCAGGAUGUUGGCUUAGAAGCAGCCAUCAUUUAAAGAAAGCGUAAUAGCUCACUGGUCGAGUCGGCCUGCGCGGAAGAUGUAACGGGGCUAAACCAUGCACCGAAGCUGCGGCAGCGACACUAUGUGUUGUUGGGUAGGGGAGCGUUCUGUAAGCCUGCGAAGGUGUGCUGUGAGGCAUGCUGGAGGUAUCAGAAGUGCGAAUGCUGACAUAAGUAACGAUAAAGCGGGUGAAAAGCCCGCUCGCCGGAAGACCAAGGGUUCCUGUCCAACGUUAAUCGGGGCAGGGUGAGUCGACCCCUAAGGCGAGGCCGAAAGGCGUAGUCGAUGGGAAACAGGUUAAUAUUCCUGUACUUGGUGUUACUGCGAAGGGGGGACGGAGAAGGCUAUGUUAGCCGGGCGACGGUUGUCCCGGUUUAAGCAUGUAGGCUG